UACGUAGGGUGCAAGGCGUGUCCGGAAUUAUUGGGCGUAAAGAGCUCGUAGGCGGCUUGUCGCGUCGACUGUGAAACCCACGGCUACACUGUGGCUUGCAGUCGAUACGGGCAGGCUAGAGUUCGGUAGGGGAGACUGGAAUUCCUGGUGUAGCGGUGAAAUGCGCAGAUAUCAGGAGGAACACCGGUGCGAAGGCGGUUCUCUGGGAAUGACCUGACGCUGAGGAGCGAAAGUGUGGGAGCGAACAGG
rnacentral:rRNA from 1 species